rnacentral:rRNA from 1 species
UACGUAGGUGGCAAGCGUUGUCCGGAAUUAUUGGGCGUAAAGCGCGCGCAGGUGGUUUCUUAAGUCUGAUGUGAAAGCCCACGGCUCAACCGUGGAGGGUCAUUGGAAACUGGGGAACUUGAGUGCAGAAGAGGAAAGUGGAAUUCCAAGUGUAGCGGUGAAAUGCGUAGAGAUUUGGAGGAACACCAGUGGCGAAGGCGGCAUCCUGGACCGGCAUUGACGCUGAGGCGCGAAAGCUAGGGGAGCAAACGGG